AUUGAACGCUGGCGGCAUGCCUUACACAUGCAAGUCGAACGGCAGCACGGGGGCAACCCUGGUGGCGAGUGGCGAACGGGUGAGUAACAUAUCGGAACGUGCCCUGGAGUGGGGGAUAACUAGUCGAAAGAUUAGCUAAUACCGCAUACGAUCUACGGAUGAAAGUGGGGGAUCGCAAGACCUCAUGCUCGUGGAGCGGCCGAUAUCUGAUUAGCUAGUUGGUGGGGUAAAGGCCUACCAAGGCAUCGAUCAGUAGCUGGUCUGAGAGGACGACCAGCCACACUGGGACUGAGACACGGCCCAGACUCCUACGGGAGGCAGCAGUGGGGAAUUUUGGACAAUGGGCGCAAGCCUGAUCCAGCAAUGCCGCGUGAGUGAAGAAGGCCUUCGGGUUGUAAAGCUCUUUUGUCAGGGAAGAAACGGUGAGGGCUAAUAUCCCUUGCUAAUGACGGUACCUGAAGAAUAAGCACCGGCUAACUACGUGCCAGCAGCCGCGGUAAUACGUAGGGUGCAAGCGUUAAUCGGAAUUACUGGGCGUAAAGCGUGCGCAGGCGGUUGUGCAAGACCGAUGUGAAAUCCCCGGGCUUAACCUGGGAAUGGCAUUGGUGACUGCACGGCUAGAGUGUGUCAGAGGGGGGUAGAAUUCCACGUGUAGCAGUGAAAUGCGUAGAGAUGUGGAGGAAUACCGAUGGCGAAGGCAGCCCCCUGGGAUAACACUGACGCUCAUGCACGAAAGCGUGGGGAGCAAACAGGAUUAGAUACCCUGGUAGUCCACGCCCUAAACGAUGUCAACUAGUUGUCGGGUCUUAAUUGACUUGGUAACGCAGCUAACGCGUGAAGUUGACCGCCUGGGGAGUACGGUCGCAAGAUUAAAACUCAAAGGAAUUGACGGGGACCCGCACAAGCGGUGGAUGAUGUGGAUUAAUUCGAUGCAACGCGAAAAACCUUACCUACCCUUGACAUGGCAGGAAUCCCGGAGAGAUUCGGGAGUGCUCGAAAGAGAACCUGCACACAGGUGCUGCAUGGCUGUCGUCAGCUCGUGUCGUGAGAUGUUGGGUUAAGUCCCGCAACGAGCGCAACCCUUGUCAUUAGUUGCUACGAAAGGGCACUCUAAUGAGACUGCCGGUGACAAACCGGAGGAAGGUGGGGGUGACGUCAAGUCCUCAUGGCCCUUAUGGGUAGGGCUUCACACGUCAUACAAUGGUACAUACAGAGGGCCGCCAACCCGCGAGGGGGAGCUAAUCCCAGAAAGUGUAUCGUAGUCCGGAUUGCAGUCUGCAACUCGACUGCAUGAAGUUGGAAUCGCUAGUAAUCGCGGAUCAGCAUGUCGCGGUGAAUACGUUCCCGGGUCU
rnacentral:rRNA from 1 species